ACAUGAGAAGGGAGGUGGUUCGGCAGAUGUAUGAAUACCGGACGCAUGAGGUGGCUGCGGGCUAGCGGCCCGUCACCACGUUCCGUGCGGUGCCGGACCAGCGUGUGAGGAACACGCAGCCGGCCAAUCCCACGCAGUCACCCGACCCGCGAGUCGCCGGUACGUCCGGCCGGCUCCUCCAGCCGGAGGAACCAGACUCGCGGGUCGUCUGCG
rnacentral:sRNA from 1 species